ACGGAAGGCAGCAGUGGGGAAUAUUGGGCAAUGGGCGAAAGCCUGACCCAGCAAUGCCGCGUGAAGGAAGAAGGUCUUCGGAUUGUAAACUUCUUUUAUGAGGGACGAAGGAUUUGACGGUACCUCAUGAAUAAGCCACGGCUAACUACGUGCCAGCAGCCGCGGUAAUAUGUAGGUGGCAAGCGUUAUCCGGAUUUACUGGGUGUAAAGGGCGCGUAGGCGGGGAAGCAAGUCAGAUGUGAAAUCUAUGGGCUUAACUCAUAAACUGCAUUUGAAACUGUUUCUCUUGAGUGCUGGAGAGGUAGAUGGAAUUCCUAGUGUAGCGGUGAAAUGCGUAGAUAUUAGGAAGAACACCAGUGGCGAAGGCGAUCUACUGGACAGUAACUGACGCUGAGGCGCGAAAGCGUGGGGAGCAAACAGGAUUAGAUACCCUGGUA
rnacentral:rRNA from 1 species